ACCACCAAGCUGCCCUCCAGAGAGGCUGCACUGUUCUACUUCCCUACCAACAGCAGAUUUGUCUAUUGAUGAAGAAAUAAUUUUUGUAAAUAAUUUGAUGGUGUAUAGAAGUCAGCUACGUAAACUUUGCAUACUCUUUUGAGUAGACUAAAACUAUUUUUGGUAAAGGACCCCCUUUUAGAUUUCAAAGGACGGAUCUUCACAGAAGCUAAUUUUUUCAGCCAAUUAUGCUUAUUGAGUGUGAAAUCUUAAUAUCUACAAACUUCAAACAAGAAAUUCAUAUUCCAUCAUUCUCAGAACUGAAGACAUCAUUACACUUAAAGCCAGAAAUAAUGAAUUAUGUAGAUAAAAAUGAAAAGCUUUUCAAAAGAGAUCACAUUCUCUCUCUCUACUUGCUGAUCCGUAGUUUGGAGGUCUUUAUCAGAAGAUUGACUUCCACAUCUCCUGCAGCCUGUCAUUGGAGGAUUUUGAACUGUGGCUGCUUUCAUUUAAUUUCCCAACAUUUUAUUAUGAAAAAUUACCAUAAUAGAGAAAAGAUGAAAGAAUUAUACAGUGAACAUAUAUACACCAUCUAGAUUUAAACUUAAUAUUUUGCUAUAUUUCUUUAGCACAUAUUUAGCCAUGUAUUCAUACCUGUGCUAAUCCAUUGAUUAUUUAAAAAUAAGUUGGAAAAAAAUAAAAGAAAAAAAAUAAAAGAUAAAUUAAAAAGAACAAAAAAUAUAUAAAAACUAAAAAUAAGUUGCAUCAACUGAUGAAUGGAUAAAUGAAAUGUGAUUUAUCCAUACAAAUGGAAUAUGAUUUGGCCCUAAAAAGAAAUGAAGUACUGAUUCAUGCUACAAAAUAGACGAACCUUGCAAACAUUAUGCAGAGUAAAAGAAACCAGACAAAAAGGCCACAUACUGUAUGAUUCAGUUUACAUGAAAUGUCCAGAACAGGCAAAUCUGCAGAGACAGCAAGUAGCUUAGUUGUUCUCAGGGUUGAGUGGAAGGGAAUUGGGAGUGACUGCUCACACAUAUGGGGUUUCCUUAGUGGGUGAUGAAAAUGUUUUGAUAUUAGUGGUGAUGGUGGCACAACGUUGUGAAUAUACUAAAAAUCACUGUAUUGUACACUUCAGUGGUGAGUUGUAUGUGAAUUUUAUCUUCUGUAUCAACUAGAGCUCAAUAUUUGUUUACAGUUCUUUUUGUUUUUCUUUUAUUAGAGAAGUUGUAGGUUUGUAGAAAAAUCAUGCACAAAAUACAGAGUUCCCAUAUACCACCCUAUUUUUAACACCUUGCAUUAGUGUGGUACAUUUGUUACAAUUCAUGAAAGAACAUUUUAAUAAUUCUAUUAACUAUAGUCCAUCAUUUACAAUAGGGUUCACUGUAUAGUACAGUCUCUUUUUGUUUUUCUGAGAUAAAGUUUAAAUACAGUGAAAUGGAAAAUCUCAAGUGUGGGCCAUUUAAUUGGUUUUGAAAAACACCUGUGUAACCCAAACUCCUUUUAAGAUGUACUACAUUACCAUCAUUCUAGAAAGUUGCCUCAUGUCCCUUCCCAGUCAGAGGCAAUGUCUGUUCUGAUUUUUCCACAACAGGAUUAAUUUUGCCUACUCUAGAACUUUAUAUAAAUAAAAUAAAAUAGUAUGUACUCCUUUGUGUAAGAUUUCUUUUGUUCCAUGUAAUAUUUUUGAGAUUCAUCCAUGUUAU